rnacentral:sRNA from 1 species
AACAGCCAUUUUAAGUUACGGAAGAGUCAAGGCUGGGACCUCAUGGCAUCAUUUUCCACGGAUUGCUCUCCAAGUUUUUCUGUUCCUGGCCUUUGGAACCCCUUCAUCAUAUUCCGCAGGUGAGGCAGGCGACUAAUCAGAUUGUGAUGAAUUGUGCUGAUAUUGAUAUUAUUACAGCUUCAUAUGCACCAGAAGGAGAUGAAGAAAUACAUGCUACAGGAUUUAACUAUCAGAAUGAAGAUGAAAAAGUCACCUUGUCUUUCCCUAGUACUCUGCAAACAGGUAAUAACUCUUUCCAAUACUUUGUAUUUUGUUUAGUAUGCCACUUUUUGGAAGUGGUCACUGUCAAUAUCUUGUUAUGGUUUGAUGGCCUUGGAGAUUUAAAACCGAGUAAAAGUGUACGGGAACCUUAAAGAUAGAUUUUGUUGGAGAGCUGAAUGACAAAAUGAAAGGUUUCUAUAGAAGUAAAUAUACUACCCCUUCUGGAGAGGUGCGCUAUGCUGCUGUAACACAGUUUGAGGCUACUGAUGCCCGAAGGGCUUUUCCUUGCUGGGAUGAGCCUGCUAUCAAAGCAACUUUUGAUAUCUCAUUGGUUGUUCCUAAAGACAGAGUAGCUUUAUCAAACAUGAAUGUAAUUGACCGGAAACCAUACCCUGAUGAUGAAAAUUUAGUGGAAGUGAAGUUUGCCCGCACACCUGUUAUGUCUACAUAUCUGGUGGCAUUUGUUGUGGGUGAAUAUGACUUUGUAGAAACAAGGUCAAAAGAUGGUGUGUGUGUCCGUGUUUACACUCCUGUUGGCAAAGCAGAGCAAGGAAAAUUUGCGUUAGAGGUUGCUGCUAAAACCUUGCCUUUUUAUAAGGACUACUUCAAUGUUCCUUAUCCUCUACCUAAAAUUGAUCUCAUUGCUAUUGCAGACUUUGCAGCUGGUGCCAUGGAGAACUGGGGCCUUGUUACUUAUAGGGAGACUGCAUUGCUUAUUGAUCCAAAAAAUUCCUGUUCUUCAUCCCGCCAGUGGGUUGCUCUGGUUGUGGGACAUGAACUCGCCCAUCAAUGGUUUGGAAAUCUUGUUACUAUGGAAUGGUGGACUCAUCUUUGGUUAAAUGAAGGUUUUGCAUCCUGGAUUGAAUAUCUGUGUGUAGACCACUGCUUCCCAGAGUAUGAUAUUUGGACUCAGUUUGUUUCUGCUGAUUACACCCGUGCCCAGGAGCUUGACGCCUUAGAUAACAGCCAUCCUAUUGAAGUCAGUGUGGGCCAUCCAUCUGAGGUUGAUGAGAUAUUUGAUGCUAUAUCAUAUAGCAAAGGUGCAUCUGUCAUCCGAAUGCUGCAUGACUACAUUGGGGAUAAGGACUUUAAGAAAGGAAUGAACAUGUAUUUAACCAAGUUCCAACAAAAGAAUGCUGCCACAG